UACGGAGGGGGCAAGCGUUAUUCGGAUUUACUGGGCGUAAAGCGAGCGUAGGUGGCUCGACAAGUCAGUGGUGAAAGCCCGGAGCUUAACUCUGGAACUGCCAUUGAAACUGUCGAGCUGGAAUCUCAGAGGGGAUAGCGGAAUUCCAAAUGUAGGGGUGAAAUCCGUAGAUAUUUGGAGGAACACCGGUGGCGAAGGCGGCUAUCUGGAUGAGUAUUGACACUGAGGCUCGAAAGCGCGGGGAUCAAACAGG
rnacentral:rRNA from 1 species